UACUGGCUGUCGCAAGCCUGAGAGCUGUGAGCGUCGAUAGAAACUCCAUUUAUACAGCCGCUGAAUUUACUGCAUUCCUGAGAAGCGAAUUGUGGUUUAUAAUAACUGACCUCAAGUAACACAAAUACGGAUCAGGCAGGGGUGGGAAAGCUGGCUCGGAGGCUGAAAACGUUUGGAGGGAAAUGGUGAGAGGAUCCUGAUGGCCAUGGAUUUUGUAGCAGCAGGAAUCACCCUUCCGAAACUUGCUUUGGAGAGAGGCACAGCCAUUUCCUAAGCCUAGAGUGCCACAUGCAGAUUCAAGCCUGUGCAGACUGAGACAAGAUGCACAGUUCGUCAUUCAUAACAGGAGAAGCUGGCGAGAUACUUCAGAACAGAAAAUACUGACGUGACUCUAUGCAUGUCUGCUCAAAAAGCCUCUUUGAAAAAAAGAGAUUGUCCUUUCAUUUAGCAUCUCCUCCCCCAUCGUUCAGUCUUCCUCUGAGUGGCUUCUGCUGGCUCCCUCACUGUGAGAAGCGAAGUUACAGGGAAACAGGCAGAAGGCCUUCUCAGUAGUGGCGCUCUCCCUGUGGA